GCUGCCUGAAAAUCAGCCGCGGCCUGCAACGUGGCCGCGGGUGAGAUCCGGCGCCCAGAGCCACCGGGGCCGCAGCUCGCCGCCCGCUUCUCCGUGCGGGGGGUGAAACCCCGGCCCGCACACGC